rnacentral:rRNA from 1 species
AGAGUUUGAUCCUGGCUCAGGAUGAACGCUGGCGGCAUGCCUAAUACAUGCAAGUCGAACGGACGGAAGAGAAAAGCUUGCUUUUUUUGGAAGUCAGUGGCGAACGGGUGAGUAACACGUAGGUAACCUGCCCAUGUGCCCGGGAUAAUUUCUGGAAACGGAAACUAAAACCGGAUAGGUAGGGAUCUCGCAUGAGGACCUUAUUAAAGGGGCUACGGCCCUGAACAUGGAUGGACCUGCGGUGCAUUAGCUGGUUGGUGGGGUAACGGCCUACCAAGGCGACGAUGCAUAGCCGACCUGAGAGGGCGAACGGCCACAUUGGGACUGAGACACGGCCCAAACUCCUACGGGAGGCAGCAGUAGGGAAUUUUCGUCAAUGGGGGGAACCCUGAACGAGCAAUGCCGCGUGAGUGAAGACGGUUUUCGGACUGUAAAGCUCUGUUGUAAGAGAAAAACGGCCGACAUAGGGAAUGAUGUCGGAGUGAUGGUAUCUUACCAGAAAGUCACGGCUAACUACGUGCCAGCAGCCGCGGUAAUACGUAGGUGGCGAGCGUUAUCCGGAAUGAUUGGGCGUAAAGGGUGCGUAGGCGGUACGGUAAGUCUGUAGUAAAAGGCGGCAGCUCAACUGUCGUAGGCUAUGGAAACUGUCGAACUAGAGUGCAGAAGAGGGCGAUGGAACUCCAUGUGUAGCGGUAAAAUGCGUAGAUAUAUGGAAGAACACCAGUGGCGAAGGCGGUCGCCUGGUCUGUAACUGACGCUGAAGCACGAAAGCGUGGGGAGCAAAUAGGAUUAGAUACCCUAGUAGUCCACGCCGUAAACGAUGAGUACUAAGUGUUGGAUGUCAAAGUUCAGUGCUGCAGUUAACGCAAUAAGUACUCCGCCUGAGUAGUACGUUCGCAAGAAUGAAACUCAAAGGAAUUGACGGGGGCCCGCACAAGCGGU